CUACAAUGGCGUAAACAAAGGGAGGCGAAGCCGCGAGGUGGAGCAAAUCCCAAAAUAACGUCUCAGUUCGGAUUGUAGUCUGCAACUCGACUACAUGAAGCUGGAAUCGCUAGUAAUCGCGAAUCAGAAUGUCGCGGUGAAUACGUUCCCGGGUCUUGUACACACCGCCCGUCACACCAUGGGAGUCAGCAACGCCCGAAGCCGGUGACCCAACCGAAAGGAGGGAGCCGUCGAAGGUGGGGCCGAUAACUGGGGUGAAGUCGUAACAAGGUAAC
rnacentral:rRNA from 1 species